CGUAGGUAACCUGCCUGGUAGCGGGGGGUAACUAUUGGGAACGAUAGCUAAUACCGCAUAACAUUGACUAUUGCAUGAUAGUCAAUUGAAAGGUGCAAAUGCACCACUACCAGAUGGACCUGCGUUGUAUUAGCUAGUUGGUGGGGUAACGGCUCACCAAGGCGACGAUACAUAGCCGACCUGAGAGGGUGAUCGGCCACACUGGGACUGAGACACGGCCCAG
rnacentral:rRNA from 1 species